GACGAACCGUGCGAACGUUAUUCGGAAUCACUGGGCUUAAAGCGCGUGUAGGCGGGACGGCACGUCCGACGCUGAAAUCCCCCGGCUCAACCGGGGAACCGGCGGGGAUACGACCGUCCUGGAGGGGAGUAGGGGGGCCUGGAACAUCCGGUGGAGCGGUGAAAUGCGUUGAGAUCGGAUGGAACGCCCGUGGCGAAAGCGAGGCCCUGGACUCUUUCUGACGCUGAGACGCGAAAGCCAGGGGAGCGAACGGG
rnacentral:rRNA from 1 species